GGAUGAAGAACGCAGCGAAAUGCGAUAAGUAAUGUGAAUUGCAGAAUUCAGUGAAUCAUCGAAUCUUUGAACGCACCUUGCGCCCUUUGGCCAUUCCGAAGGGCAUGCCUGUUUGAGUAUCAUGAACACCUCAACUCUUUAUGGUUUUCCAUGAUGAGCUUGGACUCUGGGGGUUUUGCUGGCUCACAGUCGGCUCCUCUAAAAUGAAUCAGCUUACCAGUGUUUGGUGGGUAUCAUGGGUGUGAUAACUAUCUACGCUUGUGGUUUUUCCACCAGGUAACCUUCAGCAGUGGAGGUUCGCUGGAGCUCAUAGAUGUCUCUCCUCAGUGAGGACAGCCCUUUGAAUGUUUGAUCUCAAAUCAGGUAGGACUACCCGCUGAACUUAAGCAUAUCAAUAAGCGGAGGA
rnacentral:misc_RNA from 1 species